rnacentral:lncRNA from 1 species
GGUGGCAUGUGUCUUCGUCACAUGUGAUUGUGUUCCCCAUGGUUGACAUCAAUUGCUGUCGAAAGACAAACUUGAGGUAUUACAAGAGUUAUAUCCUGUUACAAUCCUCUUGGGGUCAAUUUAUAGCCUCAACAACUUAGGGUUUCCAGGGUUACAUGUUUGAUUACAAAAUUCUCUCAUUGACAAGUUCAUUUCUACAGAUACAACAGGGAAUUUUAAUAGCCCUAAACCUAACAAAACCAAGCCUACCAAUUCUGUGCUUAAUGGGCCAUGAAGAUCCACAAUCAACUUGUCACCAUCCUUCUUCGUCGGCUUAGAGACACAUAUAACAAAAACCCUUUCAAUCAAAGGCUUUUCGAUUCCAUC